AAAUGCGAUGAGUAAUGUGAAUUGCAGAAUUCAGUGAAUCAUCGAAUCUUUGAACGCACCUUGCGCUCCUUGGUAUUCCUUGGAGCAUGCCUGUUUGAGUAUCAUGAAAUCUUCAAAGUAAAUCUUUUGUUAACUCAAUUGGUUUCUACUUUGGUAUUGGAGGUCUUUGCAGCUUCACACCUGCUCCUCUUUGUUCAUUAGCUGGAUCUCAGUGUUAUGCUUGGUUCCACUCGGCGUGAUAAGUUAUCUAUCGCUGAGGACACUGUAAAAGGUGGCCAAGGUAAAUGCAGAUGAACCGCUUCUAAUAGUCCAUUGACUUGGACAAUACUUUUAUGAUCUGAUCUCAAAUCAGGUAGGACUACCCGCUGAACUUAAGC
rnacentral:misc_RNA from 1 species